rnacentral:lncRNA from 1 species
GCAAACACCAAGCAGGUGGCCAAUGGGAAACCUCUAGAGGGUAUUUGGGCCUGAGAAGAUUCUGUAUCUGGGGUUCUUGAGCUACUGCUUGGGCUCACUCCCACACUGUGAAGUGUACUUUCACUUUCAAUAAAUCUCUGCUUUCCUUGCUUUGCUGUGCGUUUUGUUCAAUUCUUUGUUCAAAACCCCAAGAAUCUGGACAACUUGCACUCAAGACCCUCUACCGGUUUGGCGAGCCAGAGACCAUGGAGCUUCAGAAGAUCAUGUGACAGGGUUUCCAGCCAGUUCCAGGUGAAGACACCACCCCUGGCCAUCAAGAAGUCACCCGGUCUCCACUAGACAGAGUAGGGUGAGAGUUCCGUGAUCUCCAACCGGUAGUGAUUAUGCCCCAAGUCAGCAUAAAGAAGUUACGGAAGAAAAACCGUCAGUCCCUCUGUCUCACAUAAAGACUUAUGGGGAUCACGUUUCUCAGAGGGGAGAUGAGGCAGGAGAAUAGGGUCUGGAGGCAGGGAACCUAAGGCCAUUUCACACUGACUUCUUAGAACUAAAUUGAAAGGAAAACCCUAAUUUUCCACGCCUAAGUAACCAGAGGCUACUCCCUUUGCAAACCCCCACCUUUUCUGUGUGGCAUAUGGGAAAUUGAAAGUACCUCUGAUUGAUUGUUUUCUGCAACCAAUCAGAUGUUUGCAUUGGAGUGUAACUUUGUAAUUUCACUUCAGUCUCUGAUUGGUUGCUGCAGUCUGGAAAUUC